UGCGUAGGCGGCUUGGUAAGUCAGGAGUGAAAGUUUGCGGCUCAACCGUAAAAUUGCUUUUGAUACUGCCAGGCUAGAAUCAGGAUGAGGUCAGCGGAAUGUGGCAUGUAGCGGUGAAAUGCAUAGAUAUGCCAUAGAACACCUAUUGCGAAGGCAGCUGGCUAGACCUGUAUUGACGCUGAGGCACGAAAGCGUGGGGAGCGAACAGGAUUAGAUACCCUGGUAGUCCACGCCCUAAACGAUGCUUACUCGACGUAUGGCGCUAGUCGUUGUGCGUCCAAGGGAAACCGUUAAGUAAGCCACCUGGGGAGUACGACCGCAAGGUUGAA
rnacentral:rRNA from 1 species